rnacentral:rRNA from 1 species
UACGUAGGGGGCAAGCGUUGUCCGGAAUCAUUGGGCGUAAAGGGCGCGUAGGCGGCCUUCUAAGUCGGACGUGAAAUCCCUCGGCUUAACCGAGGAACUGCGUCCGAUACUGAAAGGCUUGAAUCCGGGAGAGGGACGUGGAAUUCCAGGUGUAGCGGUGAAAUGCGUAGAUAUCUGGAGGAACACCGGUGGCGAAGGCGGCAUCCUGGACCGGCAUUGACGCUGAGGCGCGAAAGCUAGGGGAGCAAACGGG